UACACUCGCUCGCGUUUCGGUGCUCGCGCGCGGUUUCUGUCGCGCGCAGUCAAACGGGAAACAGGGAGCGUCGCCGCGUCGCGGCCCGCCAACCUGUGCUGCCCCCGCAACGGUAAGCGAAGGCAUCGCGCGAGCGGUGCGACGCCGGCUUCUCCGCGCGCCUGACGGCUUGCGCGGCCAACCACUGGACGCAUCGCGUCCGGGAAGGUGAAGCGGCGUUUUCGUCAGCCCGGAUACCGGCCGAGACACGGGGCCCGUU
rnacentral:ncRNA from 2 species